UACGAAGGGUGCAAGCGUUACUCGGAAUUACUGGGCGUAAAGCGUGCGUAGGUGGUUUGUUAAGUCUGAUGUGAAAGCCCUGGGCUCAACCUGGGAAUUGCAUUGGAUACUGGCAGGCUAGAGUGCGGUAGAGGAUGGCGGAAUUCCUGGUGUAGCGGUGAAAUGCGCAGAUAUCAGGAGGAACACCGGUGGCGAAGGCGGGUCUCUGGGCCGUAACUGACGCUGAGGAGCGAAAGCAUGGGGAGCGAACAGG
rnacentral:rRNA from 1 species